UAGGAUGAUUUUAGUAAAAACAGCUGAAAUAUCAUAAAUACAACCUCUAGUAAUAUGAUUUAUUGGCUUAUCACGUUUUACCAAUAGACUGUGAAAAACAUA